AUACGUAGGGGGCGAGCGUUGUCCGGAAUGACUGGGCGUAAAGGGCGUGUAGGCGGCUUUAUAAGUCUGGAGUGAAAGUCCUGCUUUCAAGGUGGGAAUUGCUUUGGAGACUGUAGAGCUUGAGUGCGGAAGAGGUGAGUGGAAUUCCCAGUGUAGCGGUGAAAUGCGUAGAGAUUGGGAGGAACACCAGUGGCGAAGGCGACUUUCUGGGCCGUAACUGACGCUGAGGCGCGAAAGCGUGGGGAGCGAACAGGAUUAGAUACCCUGGUAGUCCACGCGGUAAACGAUGAAUGCCAGGUGUUGCGGGUAUCGACCCCUGCAGUGCCGUAGUAAACACAAUAAGCAUUCCGCCUGGGGAGUACGGCCGCAAGGUUGAAACUCAAAUGAAUUGACGGGG
rnacentral:rRNA from 1 species